GGGGUUGUGGCUCAGUGGUAGAGCACUUACCUGGCAUGUAUGAGACACGGGAUUAGAUUCUCAGCACUG
rnacentral:tRNA from 1 species